rnacentral:lncRNA from 1 species
UUGCUUUCUUAAGCAAACCAACUUUGUUUUCAACCAUGGUGAGCUUCAUGCAAUGACUUUUACAAUUUGUUUUCAUAUACGUUUUCUCCUCUAUGAGAGUCAUGUUUACCCUUCAUAGUUUUCAACUCUACUUCAAGGGACAAUAUCCUCUCGUUGGCUGAGGUCAACAAAGUUUGAUUAAACUCACUUAAAUGAAACACUUUUUAUAGAUUAAGUGAGACUAAUUGUGUGUUUGUU